UAGUCCUACGGGGGGCAGCAGUAGGGAAUUUUCGUCAAUGGGCGCAAGCCUGAACGAGCGAUGCCGCGUGAGUGAAGAAGGCCUUCGGGUCGUAAAGCUCUGUUGCGGGGGAAAAAAGGCAGCAUCAGGAAAUGGGUGCCGACUGAUGGUUCCCCGCCAGAAAGUCACGGCUAACUACGUGCCAGCAGCCGCGGUAAUACGUAGGGGGCAAGCGUUAUCCGGAUUUACUGGGU
rnacentral:rRNA from 1 species